rnacentral:rRNA from 1 species
UACGGGGGGGAGCAAGCGUUGUUCGGAUUUACUGAGCGUAAAGGGCGCGUAGGCGGCACCGCAAGUCGACUGUGAAAUCUCCGGGCUUAACCCGGAAAGGUCAGCCGAUACUGCGGGGCUAGAGUGCAGAAGGGGCAACUGGAAUUCUCGGUGUAGCGGUGAAAUGCGUAGAUAUCGAGAGGAACACCUGCGGCGAAGGCGGGUUGCUGGGCUGACACUGACGCUGAUGCGCGAAAGCUAGGGGAGCGAACGGG